rnacentral:misc_RNA from 1 species
GAUGAAGAACGCAGCGAAAUGCGAUAAGUAAUGUGAAUUGCAGAAUUCAGUGAAUCAUCGAAUCUUUGAACGCACAUUGCGCCCGCCAGUAUUCUGGCGGGCAUGCCUGUUCGAGCGUCAUUUCAACCCUCAAGCCCAGCUUGGUGUUGGGGAUCGGCACAGGCGCCCUCGGGCGCCCGCCGUCCCCUAAAUCUAGUGGCGGUCCCGCUGCAGCCUCCUCUGCGUAGUAGUUUUCUCCUCGCAAGGGCAGCUCGGUGGCGACCUCGCCGUAAAACCCCCAACUUCUGAAAGGUUGACCUCGAAUCAGGUAGGAAUACCCGCUGAACUUAAGCAUAUCAAUAACGGAGGA